AUGAACGCUAGCUACAGGCUUAACACAUGCAAGUCGAGGGGCAGCAUGGUCUUAGCUUGCUAAGGCCGAUGGCGACCGGCGCACGGGUGAGUAACACGUAUCCAACCUGCCGUCUACUCUUGGACAGCCUUCUGAAAGGAAGAUUAAUACAAGAUGGCAUCAUGAGUCCGCAUGUUCACAUGAUUAAAGGUAUUCCGGUAGACGAUGGGGAUGCGUUCCAUUAGAUAGUAGGCGGGGUAACGGCCCACCUAGUCUUCGAUGGGUAGGGGUUCUGAGAGGAAGGUCCCCCACAUUGGAACUGAGACACGGUCCAAACUCCUACGGGAGGCAGCAGUGAGGAAUAUUGGUCAAUGGGCGAGAGCCUGAACCAGCCAAGUAGCGUGAAGGAUGACUGCCCUAUGGGUUGUAAACUUCUUUUAUAAAGGAAUAAAGUCGGGUAUGGAUACCCGUUUGCAUGUACUUUAUGAAUAAGGAUCGGCUAACUCCGUGCCAGCAGCCGCGGUAAUACGGAGGAUCCGAGCGUUAUCCGGAUUUAUUGGGUUUAAAGGGAGCGUAGAUGGAUGUUUAAGUCAGUUGUGAAAGUUUGCGGCUCAACCGUAAAAUUGCAGUUGAUACUGGAUAUCUUGAGUGCAGUUGAGGCAGGCGGAAUUCGUGGUGUAGCGGUGAAAUGCUUAGAUAUCACGAAGAACUCCGAUUGCGAAGGCAGCCUGCUAAGCUGCAACUGACAUUGAGGCUCGAAAGUGUGGGUAUCAAACAGGAUUAGAUACCCUGGUAGUCCACACGGUAAACGAUGAAUACUCGCUGUUUGCGAUAUACUGCAAGCGGCCAAGCGAAAGCGUUAAGUAUUCCACCUGGGGAGUACGCCGGCAACGGUGAAACUCAAAGGAAUUGACGGGGGCCCGCACAAGCGGAGGAACAUGUGGUUUAAUUCGAUGAUACGCGAGGAACCUUACCCGGGCUUAAAUUGCAGAUGAAUUACGGUGAAAGCCGUAAGCCGCAAGGCAUCUGUGAAGGUGCUGCAUGGUUGUCGUCAGCUCGUGCCGUGAGGUGUCGGCUUAAGUGCCAUAACGAGCGCAACCCUUGUUGUCAGUUACUAACAGGUUCCGCUGAGGACUCUGACAAGACUGCCAUCGUAAGAUGUGAGGAAGGUGGGGAUGACGUCAAAUCAGCACGGCCCUUACGUCCGGGGCUACACACGUGUUACAAUGGGGGGUACAGAGGGCCGCUACCACGCGAGUGGAUGCCAAUCCCCAAAACCUCUCUCAGUUCGGACUGGAGUCUGCAACCCGACUCCACGAAGCUGGAUUCGCUAGUAAUCGCGCAUCAGCCACGGCGCGGUGAAUACGUUCCCGGGCCUUGUACACACCGCCCGUCAAGCCAUGGGAGCCGGGGGUACCUGAAGUGCGUAACCGCGAGGAGCGCCCUAGGGUAAAACUGGUGACUGGGGCU
rnacentral:rRNA from 1 species